rnacentral:misc_RNA from 1 species
UCAUACAUCUUCUUGUAUUUGGAUUCCACGUCAGAGCUGAAACCACCUUCUAAAUCUUCUACGUACUUUUUUGAUCCUCUUGAGAUCACUCUUUCAGAAUUAUAAUCCUGAACGUAACGGAUCUUCCCAUAAAGUUUGACAUUAUCUGCUUUUGUUUUAUCAAGUUCUGAGGUCAGUGAUCCUAUCUUCUCCUUCAGCUGUCUAAUUUCCUCUUCAGUCUCCCGCAAACGGGUACGGAAACGGUCUCUUUGGUUGCAGAUCACCUUCAGCAUUGAGCUUUGAUCUUGGUCUGAGGAAACAUGCCUCUGCUCUUCAUUCUCUGAAGGCUCUGUUGCACCAGACUCUGAUAAAUCCCAAUCAUCAAAUCGAGUACCUUUUCUAUCUUUAGAAUUAUAUCCCUUUAGAAUAUCAUCUUCUAGCUUCUGUAUUAAUCUUUGUUGUUCAUUAACCUUGGCAGUCAGCUCUACAACCUUUGCUUCAGCUGAUUCCAGCAAAGAAAUCCUCUCAGAAAGUUGGACCUUUAAUUGUGUUAGCUCAUGCUCCACUUUUCGAUUCUUGUCAAGAAGUAACGACUCAAGUUUGCUCAUCUCUUGCCCACUGGUAGCAACUUCCCAAUCUUCAGCUUCAAUUGAAUUGUAACCCACAGCCUGUAAGAUCUUUACUUUCUUCCUCAAAUCAUCUAUCAGUUUUGUUGUAGGCCGUGUUUGAAGCUCCUUCUUUAGAUCUUCAAGAGCAACCUCCUUUUCAUUAAGAAGAGAAUUCAACUUCUUUAUCUCAUUAAUGUGUUCUUCUCGUUCAUUUGAUAAAGUGUUCUCCAACUUAUGAAGUUCCACAUUUAGUUCAGAGAUUAUCUUCUCUUUGGCAUACAGAGAAUUCUCAAAAGCACUAUCUGCAUCCAAAUUAUCACUGUUCUUGUGAUCAUUAUCUUCGUUUGCAGUCUGUAAUUGUGAGCGCAACAAUCCCUUUUCUCUUUCAAG